UGACAGACAUAUUUUCGGAUUGACGGAUAGUUAACUGGAGUGAAAAGCUGUUGUACCCUACUGUGAGUAGGAGGAGACGGACGUCUUGCUGGCGUGUCAGAGAGGUCCCUUCUACUGGUGUGCUGAAGUUAUGUGUUCACGUGGGAGCACGUGGAGAGGACGACUGAGUGCUGCUGCCGCGGCCUGCUGGUAGCCUUGACCCAGUUUCCCCUGCUAUCCCCUUGAACUGCCUGGAGGUGUGAGUACUGUUUGCACGUGCUUUUUAUUUUACUGCUUGGCAACAAGUGAAGCGACCAUAUUGUUUUAGGUCCCAACGCACCCGAGCCACGACUCAGGCCUGCAACGAGGGUUUUGCUAGCAGAAAGACUUGAGAUACGAGAACUGCAAGAGCUACAAGAGGCUGUGAACAAUGACGGUCCAGCUGCUGAACAUCAGGAGGUAUCAGCUGACUCAUGGCUGAUGCCGUACCACAGACAGAAGCGUGGCAUCAAGUGUCGCUUUUGCUGCGGCUGCUGCAAUUCUGGUGUCUGUGGAUUGUGCUGCAGAUUCUGAGAAUAUCUACCUGCGAUUCUCACAUUAACCACUAAAUAUAGACGGUUAUACCUGAAAUGAUUUGACUGCUUAGCAUUUGUUAAAGUCUGACAGUGUUUCUUCAUCUGGUGAUCCUGCUGUAACAGUGAACAGUGCAGCAUUUGGAACUACAGUAUGUUAUUAUAUUAAACUUCAGUGGCACUAUACUACAA